UACGGGGGGGGGCAAGCGUUGUUCGGAAUUACUGGGCGUAAAGGGCUCGUAGGCGGCCAACUAAGUCGGAUGUGAAAUCCCUCGGCUUAACCGGGGAACUGCGUCUGAUACUGGAUGGCUUGAGUUUGGGAGAGGGAUGCGGAAUUCCAGGUGUAGCGGUGAAAUGCGUAGAUAUCUGGAGGAACACCGGUGGCGAAGGCGGCAUCCUGGACCAACACUGACGCUGAGUGAGCGAAAGCCAGGGGAGCAAACGGG
rnacentral:rRNA from 1 species